rnacentral:lncRNA from 1 species
AACAGGCAGGUGGCGUUCACCCCAUUGCCCUGGAUUUCUGUACAGUUGGCAUGGCUGGGCUUGGUGUAGGAAGCCAGAAGCCCAUCUCUCCAAGCUCUGGGAAGCAUUUGACAUGCUGUAUGGAGUGAAGGUUCUAGGAACAAAGCCAUCAUCAAUGGGAAAGGGCCCACAAGAGAAAAAGAUGGGAGAGAGCUGGCCGAGAGAUAUCAAAGGAUAAGAGAGUUUCCUAACAAGGCAAAUGAGCCCCUCCGUGACAUGACUACUGCUGGAAUUCUCAGCUUCAACCCAGCAUUUCUGACACAUUUUAUGUUCCGUCUGCACUAAACCAUGAAAAAAAUCACUUAAUCAUGGGGAAGCAGGUAGGUGCCUGUGCUCACAGGAUCUU